AGCGAACGUUAGCGGCGGGCUUAACACAUGCAAGUCGAACGCGAAAGGGAUUCGUCCCCAGUAGCGUGGCGUCCGGGUGAGUAACACGUAGGAAACCUUGCCUAGAGUGGGGGAUAACGUCCCGAAAGGGACGCUAAUACCGCAUAAGCCCACGUCGGCCUCGGCCGAUGCGGGAAAAAGAUGGCCUCUGAAUUCAAGCUAUCGCUCAAGGAUGGUCCUGCGGCGCAUCAGCUAGUUGUGGGUAACGGCCUACCAAGGCGAAGACGCGUAGCUGGUCUGAGAGGAUGAUCAGCCACACUGGCACUGAAACACGGGCCAGACUCCUACGGGAGGCAGCAGUGGGGAAUAUUGGACAAUGGGCGCAAGCCUGAUCCAGCCACGCCGCGUGAGUGAUGAAGGCCU
rnacentral:rRNA from 1 species